UACGAAGGGGGCUAGCGUUGCUCGGAAUCACUGGGCGUAAAGCGCACGUAGGCGGCUUUUUAAGUCAGAGGUGAAAAUCCUGGAGCUCAACUCCCAGAACUGCCUUUGAUACUGAGAGGCUUGAGUCCGGGAGAGGUGAGUGGAACUGCGAGUGUAGAGGUGAAAUUCGUAGAUAUUCGCAAGAACACCAGUGGCGAAGGCGGACUCACC
rnacentral:rRNA from 1 species